rnacentral:rRNA from 1 species
UCAAAACGACUCUCGGCAACGGAUAUCUCGGCUCUCGCAUCGAUGAAGAACGUAGCGAAAUGCGAUACUUGGUGUGAAUUGCAGAAUCCCGUGAACCAUCGAGUCUUUGAACGCAAGUUGCGCCUGACGCCUUCGGGCUGAGGGCACGCCUGCCUGGGCGUCA